rnacentral:rRNA from 1 species
AGCUGAGUUUGAUCCGGGGCUCAGAUUGAACGCUAGCGGCAGGCUUAACACAUGCAAGUCGAGGGGUAUAGUUCUUCGGAGCUAGAGACCGGCGCACGGGUACGUAACGCGUAUGCAAUCUACCUUAUACAGGGGAAUAGCCCAGAGAAAUUUGGAUUAAUGCCCCAUAGUGUUAUCGAAUCGCAUGGUUUGAUAACUAAAGUUCCAACGGUAUAAGAUGAGCAUGCGUCCCAUUAGUUAGUUGGUGAGGUAAUGGCUCACCAAGGCGACGAUCCGUAACUGGUCUGAGAGGAUGAUCAGCCACACC